rnacentral:rRNA from 1 species
GCAGUCGAGCGAAACGGAUAGGAGCUUGCUCCUUUUGAGUUAGCGGCGGACGGGUGAGUAACACGUGGGUAACCUACCUAUAAGACUGGAAUAACUUCGGGAAACCGGAGCUAAUGCCGGAUAACAUUUGGAACCGCAUGGUUCUAAAGUAAAAGAUGGUUUUGCUAUCACUUAUAGAUGGACCCGCGCCGUAUUAGCUAGUUGGUAAGGUAACGGCUUACCAAGGCAACGAUACGUAGCCGACCUGAGAGGGUGAUCGGCCACACUGGAACUGAGACACGGUCCAGACUCCUACGGGAGGCAGCAGUAGGGAAUCUUCCGCAAUGGACGAAAGUCUGACGGAGCAACGCCGCGUGAGUGAUGA